AACGUUGACUUUGGUAAGAUGACUAAAGUUUUGGGACAUUCCAAAAGGGAAAGCAUUACACUUUCAGUGGGUAGAGGAAUUAAGUGUUAUAUUAGAUACAUGUAUCCAUUGCAUAUAACCUAUUUGGAUAUGUUUUCUUAUGUGAAUCUGUUUGAUUUGGCAUGUUAGCAUUACUAGUCCCUGAUUUCAGCCUGUGGACACAGCAAAGGUCUUAUGAAACAUUUUUAACAGCUUUAACUUCUUAGCUUGGACUAACCUGGAUCCCCCAUAUUUAAACAGUGAAGAGUUAUGGUCCCUUGACUCAACAUCCAUGUAAAUAUGCAUCAUAUAUAUUUUCAUGAUAAAUUAGCCAAUUUUAUUAGAUAGAGAAGCCAAAGGUAUAGUCAUACACAAACAAAAAACAACUUAAAAAACAUAUGAUCCAUACAACUCACAUAUAUACACAAAAAAAAAUUUUAAAAAAAAUCAAAUUCUACAACAUUUUUCACCCACCACCACCACCCACCCACCGCCUCCACCACCCCCUCUUUCUUCCUUCUCCUCCUUUCUCCCCCACACUCUUCCUCCUUCCCUCCCACCCCCAGAUCGAGGCCUCUAGUUGUCACAACUUUUUGGUCGCGAUCUGGAGACCAGAGGCCUCAAUUUGGUCGAGACUAGAUGGAGGGGGAAGGGAG
rnacentral:lncRNA from 1 species